CCUACGGGACGCAGCAGUGAGGAAUAUUGGUCAAUGGGCGCAAGCCUGAACCAGCCAAGUCGCGUGAGGGAAGACGGUCCUAUGAAUUGUAAACCUCUUUUGUCGGAGCGCAAAAGACGCCACGCGUGUCGUUCCGAGAGUACCCGAAGAAAAAGCAUCGGCUAACUCCGUGCCAGCAGCCGCGGUAAUACGGAGGAUGCGAGCGUUAUCCGGAUUUAUUGGGUUUAAAGGGUGCGCAGGCGGGAGAUCAAGUCAGCGGUAAAAUUGAGAGGCUCAACCUCUUCGAGCCGUUGAAACUGGUUUUCUAGAGUGAGUGAGAAGUAUGCGGAAUGUGUGGUGUAGCGGUGAAAUGCAUAGAUAUCACGCAGAACUCCGAUUGCGAAGGCAGCAUACCGGCGUUCAACUGACGCUCAGGCACGAAAGUGUGGGUAUCGAACAGGAUUAGAUACCCUUGUAGUC
rnacentral:rRNA from 1 species